rnacentral:snRNA from 1 species
AUCGCUUCUCGGCCUUUUGGCUAAGAUCAAGUGUAGUAUCAAAUCUCCAGUUCCAGCCCUCUCCCUUGAAAUUCAU